GAUUUUUCUAGACAGUUUGUAAUUUUAAGCAUUUCUCCUCGUUUUUGAAAACUGGGUAGGACUUUCGUCAGAGUUGUGACCCAGGAAUAUUUUCCUUAAGGACAUGGGCACCAUCUCUUUGAAAUACAAUCAAGAAAGAUAGGGUCCCUCUCUCCCAGUUUCUGUGAGAAAGUCAGAGUCGAGCUACAGUGGGCAUCUUGCUCCAAGCUUCAAAACAACCUCUUGUCAUAAAAAUAUAAGUUUCUUUUUUUUCUCCUCAGGAUAAAACCAGUAAGCUGACACAGAAGAUGUCCCUAAAUACCAUGUAGAGUUAGUGUAAACUAUUUGUGUCAAAAAGUGCCGUCAAGUCAUCUUACUUACAUUUUACUCAGAGGACUAAUCUUUGUGGAUCUUGAGAAAUGUACAUAAUGAGUUGUAUCUGUUUGGCUAUGUAAGAAAGUGAGAUUUCUGGAAUUCCCACUGUGGUGCAGUGGGUUAAGAAUCCUGUUGCAACAGUCUCUGCAGAGGCCCCCCUUCAGUGGGUUAAAAAGGAUCUAGCGUUGCUGUAGUUCACAGCUGUGGACUAUGAACUUCUAUCUGGUGGGUGCCACCAUCAAAGCAAAAUAAGUGUUCUGAGAGUGAUUUCCAUUGUUGAAAUUGACCAGAAGCCAGAUAUCAAAAGAUCCUGGAAAAUACAGCCAAUAGGACUAAAGAAUAGAUCUGAGAGGAAAUGAGGUAAGAUUCCUAUAUGGAAUCACUUCUACUUGAUUUUAAAAAAUUUUUACUGAAGUAUAGUUGAUUUACAAUGUUGUAUUAAUUUCAGUAAUUAAUCAUAUCAGUGAAGUCAUCUGUGGCUAUUCUACAGGUAGGUCUGGUCAAUACGGAUGUUUUCUUCCAGUCAUAUUAGUCACUGUGGAGAAAAGCUAAAGCCAAAGCAUAAUAUUGAAAGCUAGAGUCUGUAGUAGGCUGCAUAAAAGCCAUAAAAUACCUGUGAAUUUACCUUGGUAUUACCUUAUGUGGCAAUGGGAUUGCCUUGUGUUUUUAAUUCUGUAUCCUAUAGGUGCUGCUAAUAUCAAUUAAUCACAACUUCCCACAAUCAAGAAAAGGUGCAAUUUUAGUUGAAGGCAAAAUGCUAUGAGUUAUUGGCCACUUAAGUGCUUUCUAGGUAAUCCAUCACCCACAAAAUAAGUCCUAUUUAGAAUUAAAGCCUGUUGCAUGAUAUUAAGCCCACUUUAUACCAGAGCAACACUGAAAGUA
rnacentral:lncRNA from 9 species